rnacentral:misc_RNA from 1 species
UAUCCACAGGUGGGAUCAAUCUUUUUUGUUUACCAGUGAAUGAGGAAAGGAACAAGAGACUACAAAAUUCUUGUAUAACUAGGAUACAGGAAGAUUAUAUUUUUAGGGAUCUGGAACUACCAUCAACUGUCCCGCUAAAUGAAUGACCGUAGAAUAGAAUAGGCUACAAUAAAUUGUAUAAUGCGAAGAAGAAUAUAAAGCUAAUUACAGAAUAAGAAUUAGUAUAGUCAUAUGGUGAUGCAGCUGAACUAUGAGAGUUACUCCUGCCCUCUUUUGUUGAUUGAGGACUAGAAUAGUUACCAAGUCCAGCAGCAACAGCAGGAGGCACGCUGGAAGCAUGUGAUUCUAUUGGGAACUUGUCAUAAUCCUCAAUGUCAUAACAAUUAGUCUUUUUCCAUCCCAAGACAAGUUUUUC